rnacentral:lncRNA from 1 species
UCGCUGCGAGUUGGGUUAGGUCAGGCUGGUGGGGGGUUGACAACAACUAAACAGAUGUAUCUAUUCUUCGUGUUUAGUAUUUAACAUUAUAAGUAGUAGUUCUCCUCACGGUAAUAUUCAUUUACUGAAAACAGCCUUGCUGUGUUCAUUAAAUGGUAUGUCAACAGUUCUUGUUUUGUGACUUUUAAAUUGAAUGUGACGACUAAAGACAACAGAACUUACCGCCGCGACUGGUUUUAUUACUUCGCCCACUUGAUUGGAGUGUUGUGAUUUUUUAAUUUAGAGGUCAUAACAGCAGCAGUACUGAAGAGUAAAGAGCUAGAGUUGGAAGCUGUGCAGGAUGAGUUCUGCUGGAGGUGCCCAGAAGACCUGUAGGCUAAAUGUGAAUGGUACCAUGGUGUUAGGAACCGGGGAAACAGAGGAAGAGGCUCGGGAAAACGUCCUUAAGAAAGUCAAGAAAAUGCUGCAUAAUUCACCUGUUAUUCCAUCUGGUGAGAUGUUAACAACGUCUAUGAACUCAGCAUACUUGGGAUCAGGGAGACCAACAAAUGCAAAUAUGGUUGGAAGACUACAGGAGCUUGGUGUAUCUAAACAUUGGCCUCUCCCCAUAUACAAUUUACUGGACUCCCAAGGCCCGUCACAUAUGCCUCACUUCCAGAUGACAUGCAGUGUGAGAGACCUUGUAGCAGUCGGGAAUGGUAAAACAAAGAAAGAAGCAAAACACAAUGCUGCACAAAACCUUCUAGAAUUACUUAGAGAUGGUGUGCCUGAAGACCGAGGAUCAGUUCCUGUGGGCAGAGUUCCUCGUCUGUGUGCACCGCCUAUGGUAAGCAGUGAUGUGGCCGUGGUAUGCAUGGAGCGACGAACUUAUCAGAAUCCUAGUUUACAGGCAGCAGAAACCUUUAAAGACUACCGUGAAAGUUCUCCUUUCUGUACUAGCCCUCGACUGGCCAUAAAAGAAAAGGAAGAGAGAAGAAGAUCCUUAUCUACUGAGAGGGUGUCUCCUUCCAUAACAGAAAUAUCAGAAAGCAAUGGACAGCCAAUACCAUUACCCUCUGUUGAAGACUACCUUUGUUGGAGUUUCCAGGACCAAUUGUAAAUGAAUGGUUGGUGAAACUAUAGACCAGGAGCCUGCAGUAUACCGCAUACAAUUUUUCUUUAGGGGAAUUGAACUCAAUUUGUCAUACUUUUGUGUUUUAGUGAAAAUAGAUUUUUAAUAAAAGUUUAUCCUUUUUAAUGGGCUAUUACAUUGAAACUUUUUAGAGGCCUGUAACGAAUCUAUACAAUUAUAAAGCAAAUUAAUUUGUAUAACAUAAUCAACAGUGCACCAGAAAGAACUGAGCUGUUAUUAAUUUUUUUUAAGAUAAAGAGUAAUCCUAUUACAUAUUUAUGGCCAGUUAGUUGGCUAUGUUGAAGCUGUUUGGAGUGUGUGUGUGCGCGCGCGCGCGCGUAUCUGUGUGUCAUACAAGCAUUGUGAAGCCAGAGAGUUAAGCUAUAUUUUAAACUUCCACAUUGUAAUGAAUGUAUACUUCCUUAGUAUAAAGUAAUAAAUUUUGUUGUAGUACC